GAAUGACAAACAACAAUUGCAAUUGGCCCAAAGCAAAAGCACCAAAACCUAAACUGCAUUCUGAUAUCUUCAGCCGCACAUCCCACCCCCACAUCCCCUUCCCCACUUUCCCAAUUCUUUCUUCAACCAUGGCUAGACUAAAAAAUGCGAGAACGACAAAGAAGAAGAGUGAGAGAGAACCCCAUAGCUUUUCUAUUCGUAUCUCUAUAUUUUACGGUUUGCUAAUUUUCUCAUACCUACUUGACAUGAAUUUUUGGUUUUAAUUUUGCGAAUUAUUCAACAAUUUAAUAUUCUGCCCUAUUUUUUUUUAUAUAUAGUGAGUGAAAAUUUAAAGAUUUUGAAGAGGUAAUUUUGGGAGGAGCCAUAGUUCGUGAACUGUAACAGCAAAGCAACAUUACAAAAUUGGGAUGAAGAUCCUUUAAGAAGUUUAAAAAGUCUACAGAUUUUUUUAAUUCUUUUGUUGCUUUGUACUUUUCUCUUUUGUUAUCUGUUAAAAAUUCUUGUAAAAGAAUUAUCAAGAAUUUAUUUUUGCCCUUUUAGGCACUUGGGCAUCAAUGUAGAAACAAACAAGUGUAAUAACCAUGAGGUUGGUAGUCCUGCAAGAUCAGGAGGGUAACAUUGUCGUCUUGCUGGAUCAAGAGGUGGUGUCACCGGGUGAGAUAAUCGAUGGAGUGCUAUAAAAUCUUAUUUACUGUACCCUUCUUCUUGAUAUCCACGAAAACAACAAUUUCUUUCACGCAUUUGGUACAAAUAAAAUCCACUAAUGUCUCUCAACUCGCCGUCGGAACCUGGUAUUAGGAAAGCAUUGGAGCACUUCUGGGUUUUCACUUCUCUUCACAGUCCGCUAAUGAUUACCAUCACUAUCUAGUCUCAUAUUAGCUAGCUUUUUUUAAAACUUUAUUAUUCGUGUUGUAAAAGAGUUAUGUACUGUGGAUCUGUAUGAAAUUAUUCUUUCUCUUGUAAAAGAAUACCGUUACAUUUUGAGUAUAUCAAUAUUUUAAUUUAUCUUGAAU